rnacentral:rRNA from 1 species
UACGUAGGGUGCGAGCGUUGUCCGGAAUUACUGGGCGUAAAGAGCUCGUAGGCGGUUUGUCGCGUCGUCCGUGAAAACUUGGGGCUCAACCCCAAGCUUGCGGGCGAUACGGGCAGACUUGAGUACUGCAGGGGAGACUGGAAUUCCUGGUGUAGCGGUGAAAUGCGCAGAUAUCAGGAGGAACACCGGUGGCGAAGGCGGGUCUCUGGGCAGUAACUGACGCUGAGGAGCGAAGCGUGGGUAGCAAACAGG